CUUCCGGUCGACGAGGUACAUGUACCUCGUCGACUGGAAGGAAAUCCUUCCAGCCGGCGAGGUACAUGUACCUUGUCGGCCGGAAG
rnacentral:miRNA from 1 species